rnacentral:misc_RNA from 1 species
CGCACAUUGCGCCCUUUGGUAUUCCGAAGGGCAUGCCUGUUCGAGCGUCAUUAUCACCCCUCAAGCCACUUUCUUGGUUUGGUGUUGGGCUUGGUCGUAGCAUCUGCGACCGGCCUCAAAGAUAGUGACGGCGUCCCAGAUGGAACCGGUACGAGGAGCUUUUAACCAAGCAUGUACGCGGCGUGAGUCUUUGGGGCGACGAUCUUCUAACCAGUGCUCUCCGGAGUACUCAAGUGUUGACCUCGGAUCAGGUAGGGAUACCCGCUGAACUUAA